rnacentral:rRNA from 1 species
GGACGAACGCUGGCGCGUGCUUAACACAUGCAAGUCGAACGGAAAGGCCCUGCUUUUGUGGGGUGCUCGAGUGGCGAACGGGUGAGUAACACGUGAGUAACCUGCCCUUGACUUUGGGAUAACUUCAGGAAACUGGGGCUAAUACCGGAUAGGAGCUCCUGCUGCAUGGUGGGGGUUGGAAAGUUUCGGCGGUUGGGGAUGGACUCGCGGCUUAUCAGCUUGUUGGUGGGGUAGUGGCUUACCAAGGCUUUGACGGGUAGCCGGCCUGAGAGGGUGCCCGGCCACAUUGGGACUGAGAUACGGCCCAGACUCCUACGGGAGGCAGCAGUGGGGAAUAUUGCACAAUGGGCGGAAGCCUGAUGCAGCAACGCCGCGUGCGGGAUGACGGCCUUCGGGUUGUAAACCGCUUUCGCCUGUGACGAAGCGUGAGUGACGGUAAUGGGUAAAGAAGCACCGGCUAACUACGUG